UCCCCUUUGGCUUUGUUGAUGGUAAAAUGUUGCCUUUGCAUCUGAAAUUGGAAACUUUCUUUUUCAUGCUGGAGUCUGGGUCUAAUUCACUGGAAGUCCUUCCCUUAUCUGUAGAAAGAUCAAGAUCUUCCUGUGGUCUGCUCAUUAUUUAUAUUGAGGGGAAUGGAACAGCAGCAUCUCUCUCUGAAUACAAUGAAGCCUGCAAUGCUUCCUCUGGAAUACUGAAGGCAUAACUCCUGCAUCUUCACAUACACAGCAUUUCCAGAACUUACUCUA